AUUGGUGAGGACAUCUCCAAUGGAUUGGUUCUCAUCAUUGGAUUAGUUAUCAUCAAUGC
rnacentral:pre_miRNA from 1 species